rnacentral:rRNA from 1 species
GAUGAACGCUGGCGGCGUGCUUAACACAUGCAAGUCGAACGGAAAGGCUCCUGCUUGCAGGGGUACUCGAGUGGCGAACGGGUGAGUAACACGUGGGUGAUCUGCCCUGCACUUCGGGAUAAGCCUGGGAAACUGGGUCUAAUACCCGAUAGGCCCACAUUUUGGAUGGUGUGGUGGAAAGUGUUUCGGUGUGGGGUGAGCUGGCGGCCUAUCAGCUUGUUGGUGGGGUAAUGGCCUACCAAGGCGUCGUCGGGUAGCCGGCCUGGGAGGGUGUACGGCCACAAUGGGACUGAGAGACGGCCCAGACUGCUGCGGUAGGCAGCAGUGGCGAAUAUUGCACAAUGGGCGCAAGCCUGAUGCAGCGACGCCGCAUGGGUGAUGACGGCCUUCGGGUUGUAAAAACCUUUCGCUAGAGACGAAGCGCAAGUGACGGUACCGGGAGAAGAAGCACCGGCUAACUACGUG